UACGGAGGGGGCUAGCGUUGCUCGGAAUUACUGGGCGUAAAGGGCGCGUAGGCGGUCUAGCAAGUCAGGCGUGAAAGGCCCGGGCUCAACCCGGGAACUGCGUUUGGGACUGCUGGGCUUGAGUUCGGGAGAGGGUAGUGGAAUUCCCAGUGUAGAGGUGAAAUUCGUAGAUAUUGGGAAGAACACCAGUGGCGAAGGCGGCUACCUGGACCGAUACUGACGCUAAGGCGCGAAAGCGUGGGGAGCAAACAGG
rnacentral:rRNA from 1 species